rnacentral:rRNA from 1 species
ACGUAGGGAGCAAGCGUUGUCCGGAUUUACUGGGCGUAAAGGGUGCGUAGGUGGUUUUUUAAGUCAGGAGUGAAAGGCUACGGCUCAACCGUAGUAAGCUCUUGAAACUGUAUAACUUGAGUGCAGGAGAGGUAAGUGGAAUUCCUAGUGUAGCGGUGAAAUGCGUAGAUAUUAGGAGGAACACCAGUGGCGAAGGCGACUUACUGGACUGUAACUGACGCUGAUGAGCGAAAGCGUGGGGAGCAAACAG